AGUNGCGGACGGGUGAGUAACGCGUGAGCAACCUGCUUUCAGAGGGGGAUAACGUUUGGAAACGAACGCUAAUACCGCAUGACAUUAUCUUAUCGCAUGGUAGGAUAAUCAAAGGAGCAAUCCGCUGAAAGAUGGGCUCGCGUCCGAUUAGGUAGUUGGUGGGGUAACGGCCCACCAAGCCGACGAUCGGUAGCCGGACUGAGAGGUUGGACGGCCACAUUGGGACUGAGACACGGCCCAGACUCCUACGGGAGGCAGCAGUAAGGGAUAUUGGUCAAUGGGGGAAACCCUGAACCAGCAACGCCGCGUGAGGGAAGACGGUUUUCGGAUUGUAAACCUCUGUCCUCUGUGAAGAUGAUGACGGUAGCAGAGGAGGAAGCUCCGGCUAACUACGUGCCAGCAGCCGCGGUAAUACGUAGGGAGCGAGCGUUGUCCGGAUUUACUGGGUGUAAAGGGUGCGUAGGCGGCUUGGCAAGUCAGUAGUGAAAUCCAUGGGCUUAACCCAUGAACUGCUAUUGAAACUGUCGAGCUUGAGUGAAGUAGAGGUAGGCGGAAUUCCCGGUGUAGCGGUGAAAUGCGUAGAGAUCGGGAGGAACACCAGUGGCGAAGGCGGCCUACUGGGCUUUAACUGACGCUGAGGCACGAAAGCGUGGGUAGCAAACAGGAUUAGAUACCCUGGUA
rnacentral:rRNA from 1 species